CUAAAGUUUGUGAAAGUAUUAAAUAUGUGAGAGGUUCACAAGUUCGGAAACAAAAAUUUUUGGAAUGUGUUAGACAAGUUUCUUUGGACAGUAAAAAAGGCUUAAGGCAAGAUGUUCCUACAAGAUGGAAUUCAACUUUUUUGAUGCUGGAUAGUGCUCUCUUUUACCGUCGUGCUUUUCUUCAUUUGAAAUUAAGUGACUCUAAUUACAAGCAUUGUCCAUCUGAAGAGGAGUGGGGUAAAGUUAAGAAGAUUAGCAAGUUGUUGAGUGUAUUCUAUGAUGCUACUUUAGUAUUCUCCGGAGCUAAAUAUCCUACAUCAAACUUAUAUUUUCCUUAAGUUUUCUUGAUUGAGCUUACUUUAAGGCAAGAGAUUCAGAGUGCAGAUGCUUUCAUACAAAGAAUGACACGGCAGAUGUAUCAAAAAUUUGAAAAGUAUUGGUCGAAUCAUAGCUUAAUCUUGGCCAUGGCAGUUAUUUUGGAUCCUCGGUACAAAUUUCAGUUUGUGGAUUACUGUUAUAAGAAGUUGAAUGGGUAUGGUUCUACUGAGAGCAUGCACAUCCGUGAUUGUAUGUUUUCUCUCUUUAAUCAGUAUAUGCUUGGUUCUUCUAAAACUCCAAUUGCUAGCACAUCAACUCAUGGAUAUGUAGAGACCGGUACUUCUUCUGAAACUUCCGAAGCAUUUAGAAAAGCAGAUGCUUUUAAGGAUUUUGAUACAUUUGAAAGAUUUGAUUUUGUGACUACUGCCCAGAAGUCUCAAUUGGAAUUAUAUUUGGAUGAGCCUAGAGUUGAUAGGAUGUCCAAUUUGGAUAUCCUUGAUUUUUAGAAAACCAAACAGUCUUAUUAUCCUCAACUUUCUCUUAUGGCACGUGAUAUUUUAACUAUUCCAAUAUCUACGGUCGCCUCUGAAUCUGCUUUUAGUAUCGGUGGGCGAGUACUUGAUAAGUAUCGUAGUGCUCUUAAACUGGAUAUUGCUGAGGCCUUGAUUUGUACUCGAGAUUGGGUGUUUGAAAAGAAAGAUGUUGAGGAGGCCGAGUUAGAUGAGAUUGUAGAAGAUGUCAUAAACUCAAGUUCCUACAAUGAAACUCAAUCAACUCAAUGCUCGGCCAAUGUUGAAUCCAAUUCGUAGUGAGAUGAAUCAUGAUCAUGGAUACUACUUUUUGGUUUUGGUUUAAAUAUGGAUGUUGUUAUAGUUUGGGACUUUUUUUAGUUUUGCUUUGACUAUGGAUACUCCUUUUUUGAUUUUUUUGUUGUCAUUGGACUUAUGCAGUUAUGGACCUUAUGGCCAAUGUGGUUUCCUUUGAUAUUUAUAGCUAUUUGGUAGUUUCUUUUGCUAGAUUCUAUGCAAUGCUGUUUUUAUUUUUAUUCAAUAAUAGUCUAACUCUUCUUGGGGUAAGUUUUCUGAAUUUCUUGAAAGUGGAAGAUCUGACCUGUACCAAACCAAAAGUGAAGAGAUUGUAAGUUUUUCAGACAUUGCAGUGUGGUGAGUUAGUACCUUUCUUGUAUGCUUGUAUGCUCAGCAUGUUGUGGAGGUAAAAAAUGUUGAUGCUUGUAUGCAUAAGUUUCAGAAAUAUAUAGUACUUAUCAAAACCAAUUUUCUGUUAGAUGUCUGCAGCAGCAUUUGCCAAAGGGCUUCUUGAUUUGGAGGGUCAGUUAACUCCAAUUCUGAUUAUUACUCUGCUGAUGAUCUUGUGGUGAAGCGAAGAUCAACUUCAUGAAUGCAAAUGAACAAAUACUUUGAUAUUAGCACGCUCCGAGAAUACUUGGAAUUAGGAUCAAUCUCAAGAAGCUCAGGACAGCAGAGGAAAAAAUUAUUAACUCCAUCUGAUUUGGGUUUAACAAGUCACCGGAAGCACCAUCAAAUUAGGACAUCUGUUGCCGCUAUCUUUGCAUUGUGGAAGCCUCAUACAGCUAAAAACUAAAAUCAGCAAGCAGCCAAGCAUAUUGAUACAACAAAAGCUAGUAUGACCAUCUUCCUGCAUCUGGAGUGUUUGAUGCAAACCAUUCAUUCUUCAGACAGUGGCCAACUACAUGACUUUGUUUCUGUUCUCUUUCUAUAAUAUUUUAUCACAUGAACCAUCAUUAGGUGGAAAGCUUUUUGUUGUGAACUUAUAAGUAAUGCAUACCAGCAGCUAAGGAUUUCGUAUUUCAA